UUAAUUACAUGUAGACACUAACUCACUGAUCACUGACUUUAUUAAUGUUUAUUUGGGUUUAGUAUUCUAAUGUUAUAUAGAGUUAAUUACAGGUAGACACUAACUCUCACUGAUCACUGACUUUAUUAAUGUUUAUUUGGGUUUAGUAUUCUAAUGUUAUAUAGAGAUAAUUACAGGUAGACACUCUCACUGAUCACUGACUUUAUUAAUUAUGUUUAUUUGGGUUUAGUAUUCUAAUGUUAUAUAGAGUUAAUUACAGGUAGACACUCUCACUGAUCACUGACUUUAUUAAUUAUGUUU